ACCUCAAAGCUAGCCUAUAUAUUAAUUCAACUAGACCUUAUAAAUCUAAUCUAUAUUACAAUUUUCAAUUAAAACAUUCUUAGCCUUUCAGUAUGGGUGACAGAACAAUAACCCCAGCGCAAUAGCUUAUGUACCGCAAGGGAAAGCUGAAAAAGAAAUGAAACAAAUCAUUAAAGUACUAAAAAGCAGAGAUCAUACCUCGUACCUUUUGCAUCAUGAUUUAGCUAGAAAAACUAGGCAAAAAGACCUUAAGUCUAUCUCCCCGAAACUAAACGAGCUACUCCGAAGCAGCAUUAUAGAGCUAACCCGUCUCUGUAGCAAAAGAGUGGGGAGACUUCCGAGUAGCGGUGAAAAGCCUACCGAGUUUAGUGAUAGCUGGUUACCCAAGAAAAGAACUUUAGUUCUGCAUUAAUUUUUCACCGUCUAGACAAGACUUACUCGUCAAAGAAAUCUAUAAGAAUUAAUAGUUAUUUAGAAGAGGUACAACCCUUCUAAACCAAGACACAACUUUUUAAGGUGGGAAAUGAUCAUAAUUAUUAAGGUUACAAUCUCAGUGGGCCUAAAAGCAGCCACCUGUUAAGUAAGCGUCGCAGCUCUAAUCUAAUAACUAAACCUUUAAUUCAGAUAUUCAUUCACAACCCCCUUUAUCCUAUUGGGUUAUUUUAUAUUUAUAUAAAAGAACUUAUGCUAAAAUGAGUAAUAAAGAGAAUAAAUCUCUCCCGACACAAGUGUACGUCAGAAAGAAUUAAAUCACUGAUAAUUAAACGACCCCAAACUGAGGUCAUUAUAUCAUUUAAUCAUCAACUAGAAAACCCUAUUCCUCUACNNNNNNNNNNNNNNNNNNNNNNNNNNNNNNNNNNNNNNNNNNNNNNNNNNNNNAACGACCCCAAACUGAGGUCAUUAUAUCAUUUAAUCAUCAACUAGAAAACCCUAUUCCUCUACCCUUUAUCCCUACACAGGAGUGUCAUUAGGAAAGAUUAAAAAAAAAUAAAGGAACUCGGCAAACACAAACCCCGCCUGUUUACCAAAAACAUCGCCUCUUGACAAACCAUAAUAGGUCCCGCCUGCCCUGUGACAACGUUCAACGGCCGCGGUAUUUUGACCGUGCAAAGGUAGCGUAAUCACUUGUCUUUUAAAUGAAGACCUGUAUGAAAGGCAUCACGAGAGUUUAACUGUCUCUAUUUUCUAAUCAAUGAAAUUGAUCUAUUCGUGCAGAAGCGAAUAUAAUAACAUUAGACGAGAAGACCCUAUGGAGCUUCAAACACUUAAAUUAAUUAUGUAAUCCUCCACCUCCCAGGGAAUAAACAAAAUAUACAAUACUUCUAAUUUAACUGUUUUUGGUUGGGGUGACCAAGGGGAAAAACAAAUCCCCCUCAUCGAUUGAGUACUAAGUACUUAAAAAUUAGAAUGACAAUUCUAAUUAAUAAAACAUUUAUCGAAAAAUGACCCAGGAUUUCCUGAUCAAUGAACCAAGUUACCCUAGGGAUAACAGCGCAAUCCUUUCUCAGAGUCCCUAUCGAAGAAAGGGUUUACGACCUCGAUGUUGGAUCAGGACAUCCUAAUGGUGCAACCGCUAUUAAGGGUUCGUUUGUUCAACGAUUAACAGUCCUACGUGAUCUGAGUUCAGACCGGAGAAAUCCAGGUCAGUUUCUAUCUAUGAAUACACUUUUCCCAGUACGAAAGGACCGGAAAAGUAGGGCCAAUGCCACUAGCACGCCCUAUUUUCAUCUAUUGAAUAAAACUAAAAUAGAUAAGAAAAGAUCACCUAGUGCCCAAAAAAAGGGUU
rnacentral:rRNA from 1 species